GAUGAACGCUGGCGGCGUGCUUAACACAUGCAAGUCGAACGAUGAAGCUCAGCUUGCUGGGUGGAUUAGUGGCGAACGGGUGAGUAACACGUGAGUAACCUGCCCUUAACUCUGGGAUAAGCCUGGGAAACUAGGUCUAAUACCGGAUAGGAGCGCCUACCGCAUGGUGGGUGUUGGAAAGAUUUAUCGGUUUUGGAUGGACUCGCGGCCUAUCAGCUUGUUGGUGAGGUAAUGGCUCACCAAGGCGACGACGGGUAGCCGGCCUGAGAGGGUGACCGGCCACAGUGUGACUGAUACACGGCCCAUACUCCUACGGGAGGCAGCAGUGGGGAAUAUUGCACAAUGGGCGAAAGCCUUAUGCAGCGACGCCGCGUGAGGGAUGACGGCCUUCGGGUUGUAAACCGCUUUCAGUAGGGAAGAAGCGAAAGUGACGGUACCUGCAGAAGAAGCACCGGCUAACUACGUG
rnacentral:rRNA from 1 species